UGCUGGCAUAGCUCAGUCAGUAGAGCAUGAGGCUCUUAAUCUUAGCGUCAUGAGUUUGAGCCCCACAUUGGGCAA